AAAACACCAUCCAACAGUAGCUCUUCCAAUCUUUCGUCAAUCUCGGAAACACCUAAAGAGCCAAUCACUUUAUCGACAGUUUCAGCGGUCAUCUUCCGAUAUGGCUCGGAUUCAUCUUUAAAGUUGUUGACGACCCUUUCAACAAUUUGACGGGAACCUACUUGUUGAGCAAGAACAACUGUAGUUUCAACAACUUGCUUGUAGCUGCGACGAUCUGAUGCC